GCGCCCGUAGCUCAGCUGGAUAGAGCGCUGCCCUCCGAAGGCAGAGGCCGGGGGUUCGAAUCCCUCCGGGCGCG
rnacentral:tRNA from 2 species